rnacentral:rRNA from 1 species
UGACCUCGGAUCAGGUAGGAUACCCGCUGACUUAGCAUAUCAUAGCGAGAAAUCGAUCCCGCGCGCAUGCGCGAGCAUGCGACGUCGUCAUCGCUAUAGUGAGUCGAUACAUCACUGCGCGUCACGUGUGGGAAACACCGUGGCGAUAUCUCUCUCCCGCGCCUCUAUGGGGACGAAACAGCGGCGGCAGUCAAUUCGAUAGAGUAGAUCAAUACAAUUCUGGCUCUUUACGGGUGAGU